rnacentral:lncRNA from 1 species
GAUAACAAAAAUACCCAACGAGACGGGGUGAAAACGGCCAAUUCGUCCCAUAUCUACCUCGUUGCCAUCCUUAUUAAAUGUAAUAUUUCUAAAUUUUAAGACAGCCAAACCAUUCCUAAAAUCAAUAUUACUAUUUUAAAUUGUUUCCAACCCCACUUCUCCCCCUCGUUGUGCUCUCUCUACUCCUCCGUGAAAUUUCUUUGCCUGAACCUUGGAGGUCUAGGUUUCGCCAUAAACAGGUACUUAAUGAGCUCAGAUUGUUUAUAAUUUUUGCCAUUGGCUUCUUAGGUUAGGAGGUUAUUCAUCAAAGGAAACUGACAAAUCAAUUGUUGGAAAUAGUUCGUUACAAUAUAUUGAAUGAAAUUGGUUGUUUUCUAGCAUACUUAUGAAGGUUGGAUGAAUAUACCGAACAAUUUCAUUAGAUGAAUUAGGAAGGUCAUGAAUGAGUUGGAUGACACAUCUUUAACAACCGAGGUGCUUUUCAUUUUAUGCCGAUUGUUUGUAAACGUUUAUCGCGGCAUAUUUUCUGUUGUUUGUUUGUUUAGAUUUUUGAAGGAUAAAAUUAGCAAAUUAAUAUUCAGGGUUUUAGGGUUCAGGAAAAAGUGGCUAACUCAGAUCGUUGCGAUCUUAUACAGUUUCUGCAACAAAUUAGAAGAACCAAAAAAAAUAACAAUAAUAAUAAUAAAUAAAUAAAUAAUAAAAUGUGUGGAUUACUGCAGUUUGGUGAUUGUGACUUAUUGUAUUAAAUCUGUUCUCCCUAAAUGCCUUGGGCAUUUUACAGACUGCAUCAAAUUUUGAAUUACAAAUUUGAGAUUCUGUGGAAUCGAAGAGUGGUUAUGUUUGCCCCAUGAAUGUGGUUGUUUAUUGAUAUUUACUUUUGUGAUGUAAAAUCUUUGAAUUGACAGUCAGAAUUUAUUUAUUGCUAUCUCAAAUUAUCAAUCAUAAAUAAAAUGACUCUGAACAUUUUCUAUGCAUUCUAUGUGAUUGGCUUAACAAAACUGGUAAAUAUGGACUGAGAAACAUGCUAUUUGUUUGAUGAAUUUCAUAUACCGUGCACUAUGUUUAAUUGAUUAAAUUUCUUAUCUCCCUUUAUUACUUUUGUCUCAUCUAAGAUAAUUUUGUUUUUAACCAGUUGCAGAGUAUAUCAGGUAUUCAUUAUUUAACCUUCGAGGCUAAAGUUGUGCUGAAGAGAAAGAUCAAAUUGUGAGGAACUAAAGGCCUCUCAAUGGCCCUGAAUACCAUAAAUAUAUCAAAGCACUUCUCUUGAN